UGGAACCCAGUAACUUAAAUAGACUAAUAUUCCGAACCCACAAACUUCAAAUCCUGAUUCCGUCACUACCCACUAUCAAGGCUUGAAAUUAUUAAAAAUUGAGAUGUCAAGUUGUAUGUCCAAAAGCAUCCCAAAGAAAGACCCGGAGACGGUUGUGGUAGUGCAAUACAAGUGUCGUGCUUCCAGGCGAAGCGGCCCGAGUGAUGCGCCCUAGAUGGUGAAAGUCCAGUAACUACAAGCAUCACUAGCUUAUGCUUUGAUCGAAGUAGCAUGGGGCACGUGAAUAAAAAAGGACCACCUUGAAAGGCUAAAUACUCUUGCGUGACCGAUAGCGAAGUAGUACCUUGAGGGAAGGGUAAAAAGAACCCCCAUCUGGGAGUAAAAUAGAACAUGAAA
rnacentral:ncRNA from 1 species